CGCGUAGGCGGCUUGUACAGUCAGACGUGAAAUUCCUGGGCUCAACCUGGGGGCUGCGUUUGAUACGUGCAGACUUGAGUUCGGAAGAGGGUCGUGGAAUUCCCAGUGUAGAGGUGAAAUUCGUAGAUAUUGGGAAGAACACCGGUGGCGAAGGCGGCGACCUGGUCCGAUACUGACGCUGAGGCGCGAAAGCGUGGGGAGCAAACA
rnacentral:rRNA from 1 species